GCAGAGCUGAAGAGUCCCAAACUAGGACGAAACAGCUGUCCAGUAC
rfam:Trichobilharzia regenti genome assembly, scaffold: TRE_contig0008675